rnacentral:lncRNA from 1 species
CCUGAAGGGAAGCGUCGUCUCUGUGAGAGUCCAGGAGGGAGAGACUGAGACUCUGCCUGCUGGUCUGAAAUGCGCAGAGUCAGCCCAGCCUUGCCUGGCCAGCCUUGCCUCAUUUGCAUCAUGGUCUUCAUGCUGUGUCCCCCCAGUUGGAGAAAGAGGCCCCACCCCAUUGUGCCAUCAGGACUAGCCAGAUUGGACAAGAUCCAGACAGUUCAGGAUACCUGGCUGGCUGACUUGAGUGCAAGUUUGAGGUUGCUGGUGACACUAGAGCCUAAGGGGCUGGACUCUCCCUGGAGUCUGGACGGGGGCUGCCCUCCCUCCACUCACCAU